UACAGAGGUCUCAAGCGUUGUUCGGAUUCAUUGGGCGUAAAGGGUGUGUAGGUGGCGCCGUAAGUCGGGUGUGAAAUUUCGGAGCUUAAACUCCGAAACUGCAUUCGAUACUGCGGUGCUUGAGGAACUGGAGAGGAGACUGGAAUUCAUGGUGUAGCAGUGAAAUGCGUAGAGAUCAAUGAGGAAGACCGUGGCGAAGGCGGGUCUCGUGGACAGUUCCUGACGCUGAGGCACGAAGGCCAGGGGAGCAAACGGG
rnacentral:rRNA from 1 species